rnacentral:rRNA from 1 species
UGGGGAAUAUUGGACAAUGGGCGCAAGCCUGAUCCAGCAAUGCCGCGUGUGUGAAGAAGGCCUUCGGGUUGUAAAGCACUUUUAUCAGGAGCGAAACGCUGUCGGCUAAUACCCGGCGGAACUGACGGUACCUGAGGAAUAAGCACCGGCUAACUUCGUGCCAGCAGCCGCGGUAAUACGAAGGGUGCAAGCGUUAAUCGGAAUUACUGGGCGUAAAGCGUGCGUAGGCGGUUUCUUAAGUCUGCUGUGAAAUCCCCGGGCUCAACCUGGGAAUGGCAGUGGAUACUGGGAGGCUAGAGUGUGUCAGAGGGUGGUGGAAUUCCCGGUGUAGCGGUGAAAUGCGUAGAGAUCGGGAGGAACAUCAGUGGCGAAGGCGGCCACCUGGGACAACACUGACGCUGAGGCACGAAAGCGUGGGGAGCAAACAGGAUUAGAUACCCUGGUAGUCCACGCCCUAAAGCGAUGCGAACUGGAUGUUGGUCUCAACUCGGAGAUCAGUGUCGAAGCUAACGCGUUAAGUUCGCCGCCUGGGGAGUAUGGUCGCAAGACUGAAACUCAAAUGAAUUGACGGGGUCAUAGCUGUUUCCUG